rnacentral:lncRNA from 1 species
CACAGAACACACCCUCUCUUUCAAAAACUCUCCCUCUCUGGCUUUCUCCCUCUUUCGAUCUCUUUCUUACACACACACACACACACACACACACACACACACACACACACACACACACACACACACACACACACACACACACACACACACACACACACACACACACACACACACACACACACACAUACACUCUUUCUCUCUCUUUAACUAUCCAUAUCUCGCUUUCUCACAUUACCAAUAGGAAAAAAUUUUUUUUUUAUCCAACCAUAUUAAUCAUGACCAAAUAUUUAGGAACAGGUUGUCAUUUCAUGGAGUCUGUGAAGGACGAAACCACAGGGAAAAAAUGAAAGAGAUGUCCAUAACAUUGAAGGAUGAUGGGGAAAGAGAUGUCCAUAACAUUGAAGGAUGAUGGGGAAAGAGAUGUCCAUAACAUGGAAGGAGGGUGGGGAAAGAGAUGUCCAUAACAUGGACGAAUGAUGGGGAAAGAGAUGUCCAUAACAUGGAAGGAUGAUGGGGAAAGAGAUGUCCAUAACAUGGACGGAUGAUGGGGAAAGAGAUGUCCAUAACAUGGAAGGAUGAUGGGGAAAGAGAUGUCCAUAACAUGGACGGAUGAUGGGGAAAGAGAUGUCCAUAACAUGGACAGAUGAUGGGGAAAGAGAUGUCUGUAACAUGGACGGAUGAUGGGGAAAGAGAUGUCCAUAACAUGGAAGGAGGGUGGGGAAAGAGAUGUCUGUAACAUGGACGGAUGAUGGGGAAAGAGAUGUCCAUAAUAUGGACAGAUGAUGGGGAAAGAGAUGUCUGUAACAUGGAAGGAUGAUGGGGAAAGAGAUGUCCGUAACAUGGAAGGAUGAUGGGGAAAGAGAUGUUUGUAACAUGGAAGGAUGAUGGGGAAAGAGAUGUCUGUAACAUGGAAGGAUGAUGGUGAAAGAGAUGUCCAUAAUAUGUAAGGAGGGUGGGGAAAGAGAUGUCCAUAACAUUGACGAAUGAUGGGGAAUGAGAUGUCUGUAACAUGGAAGGAGGAUGUGGAAAUUAUCGUUAAUCCUGUGGGGAAUUUCCAAACAUGCUUCAUAUUGACUGAAGUUUCCUGUAUGUGGUUACUUGUGGCUACACUGUGCGUCUGUGUGUGUUCGUGCCAGAUGACAAGUGAAACACUUCCACCACAGUGAGCAUCACUAAAGGCUGACGGGUCGGGACCAUGUAGAGCAGCACUAAUAGAGAGAUACAAGUGGUAGUGGAUAAGGAUCAGCCACCACAGGUCUGUCUGGCAAGAACUAAUCAGAUGUCUUCAGAACAGGUUUAUUGCAGAUAUCGGGUUCAACACGCCACACUCCUAAAAGUUGUUCAAUGGAAAGAUACAAGAAAAUAAUAAGCAUAAAUAGGGGCUUCCAGACAACGUACGGAGCACAGCCAAAUACACACAGCUAGUAGUACACACUGACAGAACAAAGGCCCAGUUACUGGUAAGCAUAUAUACAAUUGAAACAUGACUGCCAUGUAACUAAGGUCUGCGCAUGUGCACAAGACCACGACCAACGUGGAAUAGCAACUGCACCACAAGCGAAGGCACAGGCUAAUUAGGCUACAUACAUACAUCAUAAGGCUAUACACAGUACAUGGUAGCAUGAGGCUACAUAAAGACUGUAAAUGUACAUAAACACAGCUCUACGCAUGAACAGACAACAUAAACAGAAUAUAUUUCCCUUGAAACGGUACAUGUGAGCUUCAUCACCAAGCCUAAUGAGCUAGCGUUAGUGGCUCACAUUCUGGCUUAGCUGGCUAGCAGUAACAUGACACACAUGACAGGAAAAUACCUGAAACAUAUGGUGAAUAUCAACUUGACCGCCUUAGCAACAUCUUGAUAACAAACAUGGUCAUCUCCCAUCUAUUUCUGAUGUCCUUCCAGCUGGAUUUCUAUUUGCCACAUAUAUUUUAACUGCUGUUUCACAGAGGUUCUGAACCUAUAUACUUUUUACGGACACGGUAUAUUUAAAAUUAGUUAUCUUGUUGUUAUUAGUCCCACCCUUCUAUCUUUAACACCAUCCAGUUUUGAUUUCUAUUUGCCAUAUAUUUUUUCAACUGUGCUGUGAUGUUUCACAAAAGUUCUGAACAUUUCUAUUCUCAUAGUUUCUACAGAUUGUAAAUUAAAGAUAAACAUUGUUGCUAAAAUAA